AUCUGCUCAAUGAAAUUUUCAAUAGCCGCAACUAUGUUGUGCUAAGGUAGCAUAAUCAUUUGUCUUUUAAUUAAAGACUAGAACGAAAGAUUUAACAUUUUCAUUUCUAUCUAAAAUAUACUUUUUUAAAACUAUCCUAAAUAUAAAAAGAUAUUUAUAUAAAAAAAAGACGAUAAGACCCUAUUGAACUUAACUGAAGUUUAACUGGGGCAGUUAAUUAAUUAAAAUUUUAAUUUUAUUAAUAAUUAAACAAACCUAAUAUAAUUAAAUUUUAAUCAAGUUACCAUAGGGAUAACAGCGUAAUAAUUUUCUUAAGAUCUUAUUUAAAAAAUAGUUUGCGACCUCGAUGUUGAAUUAAUAACCUAAUAAAUGCAAAAAUUUAAUAAAGGAAGUCUGUUCGACUUUUAAUUAAUUAC
rnacentral:rRNA from 1 species